rnacentral:rRNA from 1 species
AAAGGAAUAGACGGGGGCCCGCACAAGCAGUGGAGUAUGUGGUUUAAUUCGAAGCAACGCGAAGAACCUUACCAGGUCUUGACAUCCGGUGCAUAACCUAGAGAUAGGCGAAGCCCUUCGGGGCACCGAGACAGGUGGUGCAUGGUUGUCGUCAGCUCGUGUCGUGAGAUGUUGGGUUAAGUCCCGCAACGAGCGCAACCCUUGUAUUUAGUUGCUACGCAAGAGCACUCUAGAGAGACUGCCGUUGACAAAACGGAGGAAGGUGGGGAUGACGUCAAAUCAUCAUGCCCCUUAUGACCUGGGCUACACACGUACUACAAUGGCAGCGAACAACGGGCUGCGAGCCGGCGACGGCAAGCGAAUCCCGAAAAGCUGUCUCAGUUCGGAUUGCAGGCUGCAACCCGCCUGCAUGAAGUCGGAAUUGCUAGUAAUCGCGGAUCAGCAUGCCGCGGUGAAUACGUUCCCGGGCCUUGUACACACCGCCCGU